rnacentral:rRNA from 1 species
GUGGGGAAUUUUGGACAAUGGGCGCAAGCCUGAUCCAGCAAUGCCGCGUGCAGGAAGAAGGCCUUCGGGUUGUAAACUGCUUUUGUACGGAACGAAACGGUCCGGGUUAAUACCCUGGGCUAAUGACGGUACCGUAAGAAUAAGCACCGGCUAACUACGUGCCAGCAGCCGCGGUAAUACGUAGGGUGCAAGCGUUAAUCGGAAUUACUGGGCGUAAAGCGUGCGCUGGCGGUUUUGUAAGACAGGCGUGAAAUCCCCGGGCUCAACCUGGGAAUUGCGCUUGUGACUGCAAGGCUGGAGUGCGGCAGAGGGGGAUGGAAUUCCGCGUGUAGCAGUGAAAUGCGUAGAUAUGCGGAGGAACACCGAUGGCGAAGGCAAUCCCCUGGGCCUGCACUGACGCUCAUGCACGAAAGCGUGGGGAGCAAACAGGAUUAGAAACCCUAGUAGUCC